CGCCAUAUUCUUUCUAUUGUUACGUCUCAACAGGUUGGAGGCUUCCUUUUUCACCUUUAGUUCUUUUCAAGACGUUUGCAAUAUUUAUAUAACACUUAUCGUUUUAACAGCUGGUUCCUUUACCAGAUCUGCUAUUUUCCUACGAUGUAUGGCACUAGUCGAGAAUGUAUUCAGAACACAACUAAUAGAUAUGUCACGGUUUAUUGAGUAUCCACACGCGUUGGGAAUUUGAGGCGUAACGGUAAGUAGUGAGUACAUGUAUGUACAUACACAUACACAUGUAUAUACAUAUAUACGUAUGAAUUACACACCUUAAUGACACCGAUUUUCUUUGCAACGUAAUAACACAUCUACGCGGUAACGUUGAUUAACGUUAAGGUCUCAAAUGCGUGUCCUUUGCAGCUGACUUAUUCGAAUAGUUAUCACGCUAUAAAGUCUUUUAAAAAGAACUUAAUUUUAUAACUAGGAUUCUCAUGUUAACUAUAUCGGAACAUUCUUGAUUUAAAACUCCUGAUUCCUCGCAGCGAAGAUGUGAUGCAUGCAACCUCUCUUUUUAAAUCUAUUUCCUCAUGAUUUUGUCAUGUUAAUUUUACAACUAUUGAUUAUUAGAGUAAAAGGAAAGUGAUUAUUUUUUACGAGUCUGCUUGAUCGAUUGCAGCUACUAUUUUGCGAACAUAUCAUUUUAUUUCGAUAUAUUGCAAGAAUUUUUAACGUGUUUUUCCUCGCUCGUCUCGCGUCAUAAAUCAAGAUGGUCGCAGCAGGUCGCAGCGAGGGACCAAGACUGUGUAAAUGGUCUAACGUUAAACAUGAUCGAUGCAAAAUAAAUACGUAACGGUGACGAAGAGCAAGGUAUAACUAUAAAAUUGAUCAAACUCAUUGACAUUCACGUAACAGUUGGAUAUUGUACCAAGACUAUUGUCCUAAUUGUACACAAACGGAUAUGGUCAGCUUUCACGUCAUUCUGUCCGUCAUUACGGAUUAAUUAUCCGACCGUCACAUCGAUUCUGUCCCGAGGCUCCUCGUCGGUUGAUGAGAGCCGCAAAGCGAAGUGGAAGUGAUCAGACGUGGUCUGAUUUACAUCGGCUUCGAUCACGAAGAUCGACGCGGGUGGCGUUUCCUCGACGCGGCCCUCCUCGGCGGGCAAGAGCGGUGCCAGGGAUUUAUAUGUUUGCAGUUCUAUGGCAGGAGUAUGAGCCUCUUUCUCGAUAUCGUUAACAGAUUUCUCUAUGCUUGUUUGUUCGUUCGGCUCGGAAUUGCUAAUUAUCACUACUGCUCCGACAGUGUUGACGCUCGCGGCAUGUUGACGCUGCUCCUUUUCCCGUAUCGACGAUAUGCGCCUCUCGGAAUACGCGCCGCCUGUUCUCGUGUCGCCGACAGCCUGCAACGUCGUCCAAAUGGAACAAACAUGAGGAUUACAAAAGCCAUAAGAUGCUUACUAGACGCUAUUAUCUUUUUUCUCAAAUUUCCGCAGUAAAAAUCCAAGUGUUAUUUUGGAUCUGAAUCUCUCUUUACAUGUUUUUCACCGUUUUAAGACUAUUAGCCCCUCAUCACGACCAUCUCGAUUAACGUGAUAUGCAACUUUCCUUUUUAACUUAUAUUUUCUUAUUAUUUUGUCGUAUUCAUUUUACUGUUAUUUAUGGAUUAUUAAAGCAAAAGGAAAAUAUUUGGAAUAUUUUAGAGAUGUGCUUAAUCGAUUGCAAGCAUUAUUUUUUGGAUAUGUCUUUUUAUUUCGACGUACUUUGCAGGAAUAUUGGAGAUAUAUUUCCUCGUUUCUGAUGUUGUCAAUCAAAAGUUACGCGGCGAAGGACUAGGAUCCUUAAGUCACAUCAUUUAAUACCAUCAAAUUGUAAUUUAUAUUUUAAACGUAUUAAAUGAUGUGAUUAAAAACGCAAGAAAUAUGUAAAAAGAGAAUUACACGCUUAUGCGUUUAAAAAUAACACUUGGAUUUACGGUGUGUAUGUACGGGAUUAUUUAUAGUUUCCCACAUGAGAAUACUUGGAAUGAUUAAAUUAUAUGAUGUGCGUAUGUAUUCUAUGUAGAUAUAGAUUUCAUUUCACCUUGACGCCGGCGUAAACCGAGCAAAGGAUGAAGCGUGAGAAUGAAAUGUGCAAGUAGGAGAAUUCACGCACCUGGCGUAGCAGACUUGACCUUUGACUUCCCGGUUGAGGGAGGCCGCUAGGUCGCCUUUGAAACUGUCUCUGCGACCCCACGAGAGAUCCGCGAUCGUGGAUCACGCUGAUCACACUGGACUUAACAUCGCUGUGCGGGAACAACAGUCGCCACACGAAAUUCUUGAGUGCGGCACGAAAGUCCUUGAGGUGGUAGGCGUAGAGAAGUGGGUUCCCGACCGAGUUCAUGUGCGAGAGAAUGAUGCAGAAGUUUAUGAGGAAGUCGUUUACCUCGCACUCGGGACAAAACGCCAUCACGCAGUUGAUCGUGUACAGCGGGAACCAACAGACGAUGAAGAACAGGACGAUACGCGAGAGAUUUUGCGUAGCCUUGACCUCUCGUUUGCGCGCCGCGCCGAGCACACGCAGCAUCGUCCCCGUCGCCUGGUUACUCGUGCGACCACGACGAAGACCACCGCCGAGACGGCGAUCGGCGGCGGCACCACCACCAUCGGGAUCCAUCGUGACGAUUUGCUCGACUGACCUGCUUCACAAUCACGCGGUAUAUGUGGGCAUAAAAAACCGCGAUCAGCAGGGCAGGGAAGAUGAUCGUGGCAAAAUACAGAAACACAAGAUAAUCGAAGUCCAUCACUUUCAUGAACAUGCAUCUGUGGUCGCUCAUCUCCCCGGUGUUCCAUCCUAAAAGCGGCAGAAAGCCCACCAAUGUGCCUGCUAUCCAACACACGCAUAUUAUACCUGAAAGCAAUAGAUUCUUUCUUUAACAUGAAGAUAAAUAUAUGAGCCCAAAGUGGAUAGUAUUUGAGACAUUGAAGAUAUUGAAGAUAUUCAUAGAGAGAUUCUCUCUUUCAUGCAGGAACAGCUCUAUUCAAGACGAUUCCGUUUGUGGGAAUCGUGUUUGUCAGGCGCUAUCACAUCGAUGUGAAAUCAGGAACUAUUGAAAUCGAGAGGACGACUUCAGUUGACUUGGAUCAACGCACGCGUGUAUCGCCUUCCAUUAAUCUCGCGACCUGAUAUCAAGUACCUGAUAUCAAGUAUCAAAUUAAUAACAUCGUGGAAGGACGCGCGUGGUGAUCCCUCACCUAUGGCAGUUUUGGUGCGCACCGUGCGCGAGUAUCCCAUGGGGUGUAGUAUUGCCCAGUAACGAUCGACAGACACUGCCACUAGGCAGAAAAUGCUGAUGGUACACAAGACCACGAGGACCGACACGGUGAAGAGACAAGCGUGCAGAUUCGUCGGCAGACCGAUACUCGCCAGGAUCGCGAAGGGGAUGGCGAACAGUCCGACCAAUAAAUCGGCCGCGGCUAACGAGACGAUGUAGUAGUUGGUGCGUCUGCGUAACUUUCGUUCCUUGCCGAAAACCACGAUGACCAGGCCGUUGCCGAAGACGGCGCAGAUCGCCACCAGAAUCUCGCACACGUUUUGAAGCUGAGCCUCUCGGGGAAACCCUUCCUAUCUGUCAGGGAAAACUCAAUUUUAUAUCGAGGUCACAGAGAAGAUUUGUAGAUUGAAACUUGGCACGACAAAUUUUGUCGUAAAAUCACGUUAACUUACUGUUGCUGAUACAGCUGAUACGUUAUUGGAAAUCAUCGAUAUCAUGUGUAUUUCGAGAAGAAGACAUUUGCAGCACCUUCCACGAUUCAUAUCCGUACAAAAAACAAACGACCUACACACGACGGCGACCAUAAUUAGUAAGUGCAAUUGUGCACGCGUAGCGAGCGACGAUGAACAGCCACCGAGUGUCUUCCUUGUCAGCCUGAUGUGCACAAACCGGAUGUUCGUUAUAUCGCUCGUCAUUGGACAUCGAUAAGAUAAAAUAGGGAUAGAAUUACCGCGUCAAGGAUAACUAGACAAACGAGUCUGUACAUUUUUCAAUCUCUUUUUCACAGAUUUUGUAGUACGUAUCUGUACUGUUUGCAAGUACACGUGUACUCGAAUAUACAUUUGAAACGCGAUAUCGUGUCUCGGCAGACGCACGAGGUGCCAUCAGCCUGGUCACGGAAAUCACGAAAAAUGAAGAUCAUUUCGCUUCUGUCGAGUAUCCUAUACGCAGCGUAAAUACAGAUAGAUACGAUCUUUCGCCAGAAGGAACUAAUUCGACGAUCAAUAACAGCGCGAUCGUCCAACAAUUGUCUGAACAACGAAAGUAACACCAUGUUCGACCAACCCGACGCGUCGUGUUCGAGAAAGCAACGGAAAGCCGUUCAACCUGGACACUCCUGCCGAGUGGCUUUAACGAACAGUGAACGGGUCCAUUCGUGGUAAUUCGCAUGUACUCAUUGUCCGUAACUGGCGUAUAACGGAGCGCUUGACAUUGCAUAAAGGAUCUCUAAUUGCGCUGUGGAGCUAAAUGCCUUCUCUGUCGCGCGACGCGCGCUGCCACGAGCGGUCUUUCGAGCGCGCUAGAGCGAUCUAAAUCGAAAAUGGGUCGUGUUCGCGUUACACCAGCCAUGUAAACACACCCUAGAAUGUACGACCGACUAUCUAAUGGUUUAAUACGACUAAUGCGUCGCCGGAAGGUGGACUGCAGCCUUAUCCGAGUCGAUAUUUUGGUUCCAUGUUAACCUUGCAAAUUCCGUCCAACUUGGCGAGCCGAUGGAGAGUCUUGAGCUCAAGGAUGCGGAAUGUGUCAUUGAUUGUCGGCCACCGAAUGUGCUCAUCAUUGAUUGGAGAACGACGCACACACCGCGAUGAGGAGUACGUAUGUUGCAAGUGUCAGUGCUAGAAGCAAAUACUCAGAGUGCUACGAUGGAGCAGCUGAGAGCAGAAUGCUGAAACUAAGACUUUGGAAUGUAGACAGCGAUACAUUAUCUAUUUACAGGUGUGUCAAAUCAUUUAUUUUACAAAGUGUUUUCGAUUUUAACGGAUGUUCAAUAAAAUUUGCCGGGCAUAAGAAUACACCCGAGUCGAAAUUUAAGCUGAUAUUCAUAGUCUUUUAUUGCUAUUUAAUACAUUAUUAUAGUUCCGUGAAUCUCUCUCUGAUUAUUCAUGUUAAAGUUGACUAACAGUCUAUAAGUAUGAAUCUAUCAGCAAUUUGCUUUUAGGCAAUGACUGCAAAUAAUUUACAAAAAAUGUUCGCGAAAAAAAAAUAAAACAAUGAACAAUUAAUUUCUAA